CCUACGGGUGGCAGCAGUGGGGAAUAUUGCACAAUGGGGGAGACCCUGAUGCAGCGAAGCCGCGUGAGUGAAGAAGUAUUUCGGUAUGUAAAGCUCUAUCAGCAGGAACGAGACAAGACGGUACCUGACUAAGAAGCCCCGGCUAACUACGUGCCAGCAGCCGCGGUACUACGUAGGGGGCAAGCGUUAUCCGGAUUCACUGGGUGUAAAGGGAGCGUAGACGGCUGUGCAAGUCUGAAGUGAAAGGCGGGGGCCCAACCCCUGGACUGCUUUGGGAACUGUACGGCUGGAGUGCAGGAGAGGUAAGGGGAAUUCGUAGUGUAGCGGUGAAAUGCGUAGAUAUUAGGAGGAACACCAGUGGCGAAGGCGGCUUACUGGACUGUAACUGACGUUGAGGCUCGAAAGCGUGGGGAGCAAACAGGAUUAGAUACCCGGGUAGUC
rnacentral:rRNA from 1 species